CUUCAUUACAGUGCUGGGUGCAUGGGGGAUCGCUCCACCAGCAUGCACACUGAGAGAAGCAGCGACUACAUUUUUAUAGGGCAUCUAUUCUACUUUCUUAUCUUCACUUGACAACAAGUUCCACAGCCUCCUCCUCAUUCUGUUCUUGAGCUUACGUUUACACAAGCCUCCUGUCCUUCAGCUUAUAUCUGCUCAAGUGAUGCAAAAGUCUGUUCUCACAAUGUGGAAAAGCUGCUCUUAUGAUUCACAGCCACCAGGUACACGGACAUUUUUCUCAGAUUUUCACACAUAUUGUUUUGGAAAUCGCUCAUUAUGGCCCAACAAGCAAUGGAAGUUUGCCAAAUUGGGGAAGAACAGCUAAAGGUCAGCCAAAAGUCUCUGUGAUGAAGCUGCUGAUGGAAACAUGGGGAAAAAGGAAGUGGUUGAAGACCACCACAGACUGCUACCAGAGGGACAUUUAUAUAUAAUACCGAAUUCUUGGAAAAAAAGUGAAUAUGUAUGUCAAUGUACUGACUUGCGGAAUCAAACUCCAUAACCCGCGAUUAGGUUAUAAAGCAGGUAUGUUUAUUACGGUGCUGCGCCCACACCGGAUGC